ACGGAGGGUGCAAGCGUUGUCCGGAUUUAUUGGGUUUAAAGGGUGCGUAGGCGGCCUGUUAAGUCAGUGGUGAAAUCCUGCAGCUCAACUGUAGAAUUGCCAUUGAUACUGACGGGCUUGAAUUCAGGCGAGGUAGGCGGAAUUGACGGUGUAGCGGUGAAAUGCAUAGAUAUCGUCAAGAACACCGAUUGCGAAGGCAGCUUACUAGACUGACAUUGACGCUGAGGCACGAAAGUGUGGGGAUCAAACAGGA
rnacentral:rRNA from 1 species